rnacentral:rRNA from 1 species
GGGGCAACUUGUUGCUCUCGCUAUUAGAUGAGCCUAAGUCGGAUUAGCUAGAUGGUGGGGUAAAGGCCUACCAUGGCCGAUCUGUAGCUGGUCUGAGAGGAUGAUCAGCCACACCGGGACUGAGACACGGCCCGGACUCUACGGGAGCAGCAGUGGGGAAUAUUGGACAAUGGGGGCAACCCUGAUCCAGCCAUGCCGCGUGUGUGAAGAAGGCCUUUUGGUUGUAAAGCACUUUAAGCAGUGAAGAAGACUCCAUGGUUAAUACCCAUGGACGAUGACAUUAGCUGCAGAAUAAGCACCGGCUAACCUGUGCCAGCAGCCGCGGUAAUACAGAGGGUGCAAGCGUUAAUCGGAAUUACUGGGCGUAAAGCGAGCGUAGGUGGCUUGAUAAGUCAGAUGUGAAAGCCCCGGGCUUAACCUGGGAACGGCAUCUGAUACUGUUAGGCUAGAGUAGGUGAGAGGAAGGUAGAAUUCCAGGUGUAGCGGUGAAAUGCGUAGAGAUCUGGAGGAAUACCGAUGGCGAAGGCAGCCUUCUGGCAUCAUACUGACACUGAGGUUCGAAAGCGUGGGUAGCAAACAGGAUUAGAUACCCUGGUAGUCCACGCCGUAAACGAUGUCUACUAGUCGUUGGGUCCCUUGAGGACUUAGUGACGCAGCUAACGCAAUAAGUAGACCGCCUGGGGAGUACGGCCGCAAGGUUAAACUCAAAUGAAUUGACGGGGGCCCGCACAAGCGGUGGAGCAUGUGGUUUAAUUCGAUGCAACGCGAAGAACCUUACCUGGUCUUGACAUAUCUAGAAUCCUGCAGAGAUGCGGGAGUGCCUUCGGGAAUUAGAUACAGGUCUGCAUGGCUGUCGUCAGCUCGUGUCGUGAGAUGUUGGGUUAAGUCCGCAACGAGCGCAACCCUUGUCCUUAGUUACCAGCGGUUUGGCCGGGAACUCUAAGGAUACUGCCAGUGACAAACUGGAGGAAGGCGGGGACGACGUCAAGUCAUCAUGGCCCUUACGACCAGGGCUACACACGUGCUACAAUGGUAGGUACAGAGGGCAGCUACACAGCGAUGUGAUGCGAAUCUCAAAAAGCCUAUCGUAGUCCAGAUUGGAGUCUGCAACUCGACUCCAUGAAGUAGGAAUCGCUAGUAAUCGCGGAUCAGAAUGCCGCGGUGAAUACGUUCCCGGGCCUUGUACACACCGCCGUCACACCAUGGAGUUGAUUGCACCAGAAGUGGGUAGCCUAACCUUUAGG